UAAACGGCGGCCGUAACUAUAACGGUCCUAAGGUAGCGAAAUUCCUUGUCGGGUAAGUUCCGACCUGCACGAAUGGCGUAAUGAUGGCCAGGCUGUCUCCACCCGAGACUCAGUGAAAUUGAACUCGCUGUGAAGAUGCAGUGUACCCGCGGCAAGACGGAAAGACCCCGUGAACCUUUACUAUAGCUUGACACUGAACAUUGAGCCUUGAUGUGUAGGAUAGGUGGGAGGCUUAGAAGUGUGGACGCCAGUCUGCAUGGAGCCGACCUUGAAAUACCACCCUUUAAUGUUUGAUGUUCUAACGUUGACCCGUAAUCCGGGUUGCGGACAGUGUCUGGUGGGUAGUUUGACUGGGGCGGUCUCCUCCUAAAGAGUAACGGAGGAGCACGAAGGUUGGCUAAUCCUGGUCGGACAUCAGGAGGUUAGUGCAAUGGCAUAAGCCAGCUUGACUGCGAGCGUGACGGCGCGAGCAGGUGCGAAAGCAGGUCAUAGUGAUCCGGUGGUUCUGAAUGGAAGGGCCAUCGCUCAACGGAUAAAAGGUACUCCGGGGAUAACAGGCUGAUACCGCCCAAGAGUUCAUAUCGACGGCGGUGUUUGGCACCUCGAUGUCGGCUCAUCACAUCCUGGGGCUGAAGUAGGUCCCAAGGGUAUGGCUGUUCGCCAUUUAAAGUGGUACGCGAGCUGGGUUUAGAACGUCGUGAGACAGUUCGGUCCCUAUCUGCCGUGGGCGCUGGAGAACUGAGGGGGGCUGCUCCUAGUACGAGAGGACCGGAGUGGACGCAUCACUGGUGUUCGGGUUGUCAUGCCAAUGGCACUGCCCGGUAGCUAAAUGCGGAAGAGAUAAGUGCUGAAAGCAUCUAAGCACGAAACUUGCCCCGAGAUGAGUUCUCCCUGACUCCUUGAGAGUCCUGAAGGAACGUUGAAGACGACGACGUUGAUAGGCCGGGUGUGUAAGCGCAGCGAUGCGUUGAGCUAACCGGUACUAAUGAACCGUGAGGCUUAACCUU
rnacentral:rRNA from 1 species